UGGGGUGUAGUUCAGUGGUAAAAUACUUGCCCAGCAUGCAUGAGGCUCUGAGUUCAAUCCUAGCAUCACAA
rnacentral:tRNA from 2 species